CAGUGGCGAUGGCGCCCUUCCCUGAAGAAGUGGACGUCUUCACCGCCCCACACUGGCGGAUGAAGCAGCUGGUGGGGCUCUACUGCGACAAGAAUGAAUAUGAACAGUUAAAUUAUGCAAAACAACUGAAAGAGAGAUUGGAGGCUUUUACAAGAGAUUUUCUUCCUCACAUGAAAGAGGAAGAGGAGGUUUUUCAGCCCAUGUUAAUGGAAUAUUUUACCUAUGAAGAGCUUAAGGAUAUUAAAAAGAAAGUGAUUGCACAACACUGCUCUCAGAAGGAUACUGCAGAACUCCUUAGAGGUCUUAGCCUAUGGAAUCAUGCUGAAGAGCGACAGAAGUUUUUUAAAUAUUCCGUGGAUGAAAAGUCAGAUAAAGAAGCAGAAGUGUCAGAACACUCCACAGGUAUAACCCAUCUUCCUCCUGAGGUAAUGCUGUCAAUUUUCAGCUAUCUUAAUCCUCAAGAGUUAUGUCGAUGCAGUCAAGUAAGCAUGAAAUGGUCUCAGCUGACAAAAACGGGAUCGCUUUGGAAACAUCUUUACCCUGUUCAUUGGGCCAGAGGUAGGUAAAUGGGUUUUUAAAAUAUUUUCAUGUAUUUUUCUAGAUGAAUAUUCAUUUACAUUAAUGAGCAAGGCCAGAGAGAGAAACUCUGAGAGGUCAAUCAAAAAGUAGAUUUUAUAGU
rnacentral:sRNA from 1 species